AAUAUUGGACAAUGGGGGCAACCCUGAUCCAGCCAUGCCGCGUGUGUGAAGAAGGUCUUCGGAUUGUAAAGCACUUUAUGUUGGGAGGAAGGGCUUUAGGUUAAUACCCUGUAGUUUUGAGGUUACCAACAGAAUAACCAACGGCUACAUCUGUGCCAGCAGCCGCGGGAAUACAGUGGGUGCAAGCGUUCAUCGGAAUUACUGGGCGUAAAGCGCGCGUAGGUGGUUCAGUAAGAUGGAUGUGAAAUCCCCGGGCUUAACCUGGGAACUGCUUUCAUAACUGCUGAGCUAGAGUACGGUAGAGGGUAGUGGAAUUUCCUGUGUAGCGGUGAAAUGCGUAGAUAUAGGAAGGAACACCAGUGGCGAAGGCGACUACCUGGACUGAUACUGACACUGAGGUGCGAAAGCGUGGGGAGCAAACA
rnacentral:rRNA from 1 species